rnacentral:rRNA from 1 species
CUACGGGAUGCAGCAGUGGGGAAUUUUGCGCAAUGGGGGAAACCCUGACGCAGCAAUACCGCGUGAGUGAAGAAGGCCUUUGGGUCGUAAAGCUCUUUUCUUGGGGAAGAUAGUGACGGUACCCAAGGAAUAAGCACCGGCUAACUCCGUGCCAGCAGCCGCGGUAAUACGGAGGGUGCAAGCGUUGUUCGGAUUUACUGGGCGUAAAGGGCACGUAGGCGGCACAGCAAGUUAAGGGUGAAAUCCCGGGGCUCAACUCCGGAACUGCUCUUCAAACUGCUGAGCUAGAGAUAGUCAGAGGCGGGUGGAAUUCCAGGUGUAGAGGUGAAAUUCGUAGAUAUCUGGAGGAACACCGGUGGCGAAGGCGGCCCGCUGGGGCUAUUCUGACGCUAAGGUGCGAAAGCGUGGGGAGCAAACGGGAUUAGAUACCCGUGUAGUC